GCGGUAGUGGUGAAGUGGUUAACACACUGGUUUGUGGAUCCAGCAUUCGUGAGUUCGAUUCUCAUCUACCGCC
rfam:Lactobacillus equi DPC 6820 NODE_207, whole genome shotgun sequence.